ACCAAACAAACUUGCUCAACUAAAAUGCUAAAGACGCUUCAUUCAUCUCCGCCAGCGAUGUAGUUAAUGUCUGGUUUGGGCCAAUAUCAUCAGUUUCAUGACCACCAUCGUCGAUCUUCACUUCUUUAACCUUUCUAGCAGCUCUCCAGGAAUCAGAAAUCGUCAAAGCCCACUUUGUCGCGUAUCUUGUACUUAAUUGGCGGCAUCAAUCUUUCGAGCAACGUUUGCUCCUCUUCAGCAGUUCGAGCGAUUCGAAACCGAC